ensembl:snoRNA SNORA70 Small nucleolar RNA SNORA70
CUGGUGAAAGAAUAGACAAAUAAUGGACUAGACAAUGCCUGCAAACAGCAGCCUCCUUAGUUGUGCACGCAGCCUGUUGUUUAUAUAGGUUGCUCUAAGGGACCUUGGAGACAGUC